AAAAACGUGAGCUAAUCGAAGCCAACUUCUAAGCUAGCAUUAAAUAUAUCUAAUGUAGAAAUUCAGUGGUGUAGUGAGCUGCGACAAGUUGAGAUUAAUUUCCGUUUAUAUGUAUGUCGCUACGCUUUGCCGAUAACUCAAAAACACAUCAACCCCCAAUUUACAGACAGCAAUUUUGUAGCAACAAAAUAGAAGAACGGCGCUAGUGCGGAAAGAAAUUCUGGUCUAUUCCUGCAUCGUGAACAUACUCGGUUGUAGGUAUCUGCACUGUGAAGAACUACAGCUUGUUGCUUUUUAAAUACAUUUAAUAUCCGCAUUCUGUUUGUAUAUAUAAAGUCGUAAUUAAAUAUACGCAACUCUAAACCUUUAUUGUUCAUUAUUUGUAUUUGAUACAAACCUUGCUAAAUUCAAUUCGUGCUAAAAAGUUGAGAC
rnacentral:lncRNA from 1 species